AAUCAACGCUGGCGGCGUGCCUAACACAUGCAAGUCGAACGCGAAAACCUCGCAAGGGGUGAGUAGAGUGGCAAACGGGUGAGUAACACGUGGGUGACCUGCCUUCGAGUGGGGGAUAACGUCCCGAAAGGGACGCUAAUACCGCAUAACAUCCUGCCUUUUAAGAGGUGGACAUCAAAGCUGGGGAUCGCAAGACCUAGCGCUGGAAGAGGGGCCCGCGCCUGAUUAGCUAGUUGGGGGGUAAUGGCUCACCAAGGCAACGAUCAGUAUCCGGCCUGAGAGGGCGGACGGACACACUGGGACUGAGACACGGCCCAGACUCCUACGGGAGGCAGCAGUGGGGAAUUGUUCGCAAUGGGCGCAAGCCUGACGACGCAACGCCGCGUGGAGGAUGAAGACUCGGUCGUAAC
rnacentral:rRNA from 1 species